GACUGAUCGUCACUCUGUUUGGAGCUGCUCUUCUCUGAGGACACGAACACGGUGAACAGUGGGACUUGUCUUCAGCUUCAGGUGGAACAGCUCUGACCUGUAUGGUGAUCAGACCCGGAGAGGAGAGACACCUGGUCCAACAAGGUGACGGACGAGCAGCUGAGACGAAUAAGACGAGCCGCCACAGGACCUGAAGCAGGAAAAAUGAGUAUCGUCUUCUGAUGAAACUCCUUCAGGUCGUGCAGUUGUUUGUUGACUCUGGUUUCACCUGCUCAGACAGUGAGCACUGUUGUCUUUGCUGGUUCUUUACAUAAUAAAACCUUUUUUUGAAUUACACUCUGUUGUGGUUUUUAUAGAUUUUUAAAGAAGGUGUUGAGUCUUUUGAUGGAGUCCAAUUUCUCCUCUCAGUGGCAUUUUCAAAGCUUUAACUAUAUUUGAUGUAUACAUUUUCUUUCUGUAGUGGAGAGCAGGGCUUCCAUUACCUUCAGUAUCUAUUCCUAUAUUAGAAACCAUGUGUUGUUUAAUAAUGUCUGAGUAAGUUAGCCUCU
rnacentral:lncRNA from 1 species